rnacentral:tRNA from 1 species
GCACUAGUGGUGUAGUGGUAACAUACUAGCCUUCCAAGCUGGGGCCAGGGGUUCGAUUCCCUUCUAGUGCA